rnacentral:rRNA from 1 species
AUCGAUGAAGAACGCAGCGAAAUGCGAUAAGUAAUGUGAAUUGCAGAAUUCAGUGAAUCAUCGAAUCUUUGAACGCACAUUGCGCCUGCCAGUAUUCUGGCGGGCAUGCCUGUCCGAGCGUCAGUUCAACCCACCAGCUUCCCCUUGCUGGGCGUUGGGGACCGGGCCAGACGCCGUUCGGUGUCGGCGCGCCCCCGAAACGAAGCGGCGGCCGUCCCGUGGGCUCCUCUGCGCAGUAGAGCAUCUCGCAUUGGUGACCACGGCUCCGGCUACGCCCAUCAAACCAAACCGACCACCAAGGUUGACCUCGGAUCAGGUAGGAAUACCCGCUGAACUUAAGCAUAUCAAUAAGCGGAGGAAAAGAAACCAACAGGGAUUGCCCCAGUAACGGCGAGUGAAGCGGCAACAGCUCAAAUUUGAAAUCUGACCCCCGGGUCCGAGUUGUAAUUUGCAGAGGAUGCUUUUGGCGCGGCGCCUUCCGAGUUCCCUGGAACGGGACGCCAGAGAGGGUGAGAGCCCCGUCCGGUUGUGUCGCCUAGCCUCUGUAAAGCUCCUUCGACGAGUCGAGUAGUUUGGGAAUGCUGCUCUAAAUGGGAGGUAUACGUCUUCUAAAGCUAAAUAUCGGCCAGAGACCGAUAGCGCACAAGUAGAGUGAUCGAAAGAUGAAAAGCACUUUGAAAAGAGGGUUAAAAAGUACGUGAAAUUGUUGAAAGGGAAGCGCUUGUGACCAGACUUGGAUUCGGUGAAUCAUCCAGCGUUUUCGCUGGUGCACUUCGCCGUUCCAGGCCAGCAUCGGUUCGCCGUGGGGGACAAAGACGGCGGGAACGUGGCUCCCCCGGGAGUGUUAUAGCCCGCCGUGCAAUACCCUGAGGUGGACCGAGGUACGCGCCCUGCAAGGAUGCUGGCGUAAUGGUCACCAGCGACCCGUCUUGAAACACGG